ACUGCGCAGGCGCUGCGGGAGGCCACUGGUGCUCAAGCACCUCGGAUUCCCGCUCAUACAGCCGGCCGGAUCAUGUGGCAGUCAGGUGGCGACCACUAUCUAGCCCAACGUUGCUGGAGUUGUUGCAGCUCUGCCGGGCCCACAUAUCAGCGUUCGUGCAUGACGGUGAGUUGCCACCCAUGGCAUCUCUGGACCAGUUGCAGGCCAGAUUUGGGAACAGCCCGCCUGGCUCCCUGUCCUCCCUGAGGCUGAUGCAGGCAGACAGCCUCCUGUGGAUGGGUCACAAAAUGACUGUGCAGCAGCCGAAGGCCCCUGGAACCCAGACAGAUGUGCUACUGGCUGACCUUCAGCACUGCAGGUACCUGUGCCAGCCCCCAGCCCCGCCUCCUGUUGGCCCUCCCACGGAAGACAAGGGUGUGUGGCCGUAGUCAUGGCCAGAAUCUUCACUUCUGGGCCAGCACCCGGCAUGGAGCCCUUCUGCUGGGGCGAUCCCCCCACUGGAAAGUGGGUGGGUACCAGUUGUGUGUGCAAUGCCCUGUAGGCCUGAGAGGAGGUGGGGGUGUGGAAGGCACCAGGAUGAGGUAGGCGGUGGGUGCUGGCCCUCCCACUGCUGGGCUGCGUGACCUGGGAUCAGUCUUUCCUCUGUCUGAUGGCAGGUGCAGAUUGCCUGCCCUGGCACGUGGUGGGCAGUCUGGGCCCAGGAGCAUCUCCCACCCUGUGUGGCUGGGGCCUGCUCGUGAGUGGCCUGCUGUCCUCCUGCCCAGCAAGCUGCACCACCCUGGCCUGUUGCUGCUGAUGGCACUGAGUCCCUCUGCAGAUCUGUCGGGGCUGUGCCUUCUCUUUGAGCCUGUGUGGCUGGGCUCCCUGCAGGGGGUGCUGCACCCACCGAGACCAAGUGAGGAGGCACCUGGGACUGUGCUGGGCCUGCCGCCCCGGCCCCCUGCUGCAGCAGGUGCUAAAGGCCCUGCUGUUCCUGCAGGCCCACUGGCGAGCUCACAGUGGCUUCAGCUCUCACACCGUGUAGCUGGUGCAGCCAGGCCUGGCUAAAGUGGGCCACCUGGAGCACAGGCGCCUCCUACGCCAGCGCUGGCUGCGGCCCAGUUUUCCUGUCUGGUGGCGGGUGCAGGUCCCUGUCCAGCAGCCGUCGGCUCACCAGGGCCCUUGGGCUCCACAGGCAGCAGAAGGGCUACCCCUGGGGAGGCCCAGGCCCAGGGCUUCCCCCGCCCCCUGAACUACACCCAUGGCUGCCACUUCAGCUGAUCUGCGGUGACAUGCCCACCACCACCUCAGACCUCUACAGCUUCUGCAUCCUGAUCCAGGAGGUCUUCACUGAGAAACUGUACAUCAAGUGGCUCACAGAGCCAAGACCACACCCAGGCCUGUGGCCCCUGUGAUGUCCCCAGGCCCCAUCCCAUGCCAGGCCUGAGACUCCUGAGGUCAGAGACCACAGCAGGAUCCCAAGGGGUGCAGCCUGGAACUUGGGCAGCAGCUUGACUCUAGGCAGCAGCUCUGGGCCCAGCCCAGGACCCAGCCCUGGGUCUGGCCACAGCCCCACAGCCAGGGUCAGCCUGCACUGCUGCCUGGAGCCCAGCUCAACAGUACAGAUACCCCCAGAGCCCUGCACAACUGUCCCACUGCUAACCUGUGACCCCCUCCGCCCGCCCUCCAGGAGUCACCAACCCGAAGUUCCCUGGCUGCCUCUCCUUUGACCAGGGAACUUUAGGGUCGCCCAACUGUCCCCUCACUCACCUAUGACCCUUAACCAACCCUGCUUCCCCCAGGGCCCUUCCCUGCACUCCAACUCCAGCCUCUAGGACUCAGCCUCCCUGCUGGGGACCCAGAGCUCUGCGGAACAGUUUGAGGAAGCUCUCAGCCAAGAUUCCAGCCCUGCAGGGGCUGCUGCGGCGCACACACAGGGUUAUUCUGCUGGAGCCCCAGCCCUGCACCCGGUACUGAGCUGACUAGAGGAGGUCUCUUCUCCAGCCUGCAGAAGAUGGACCUGCUGGAGGAGAUCAUAGCAGAGCUACAAAAAGGAUGUCAGCUUGGAGAAAAGCCCAGCCUGAGCCCCACUCCUGACCUAGACUCCCAGGGUGCCCAUGGUUCCCCUCUCUGCAGAUACCACCUCUCAGAGGCUCCCAGGAGUAACUCCUGCCUUGGUGCCUCCCCAAAAGGAAAUAGAAUGAUAAAGUGC
rnacentral:lncRNA from 1 species